GCUCGACCUCAAAUCAGGUAGGAAUACCCGCUGAACUUAAGCAUAUCAAUAAGCGGAGGAAAAGAAACCAACAGGGAUUGCCUCAGUAGCGGCGAGUGAAGCGGCAAGAGCUCAGAUUUGAAAUCGUGCUUUGCGGCACGAGUUGUAGAUUGCAGGUUGGAGUCUGUGUGGAAGGCGGUGUCCAAGUCCCUUGGAACAGGGCGCCCAGGAGGGUGAGAGCCCCGUGGGAUGCCGGCGGAAGCAGUGAGGCCCUUCUGACGAGUCGAGUUGUUG
rnacentral:rRNA from 1 species